UUAAACAAAGUAAAUAAACAUAACUUAUUUUUGACCAAGCCUAAAAUAGGAGACCUUAGAUAAGAACUGCAGCUUAAGCAAAGCCUGGGUCUUUUUUGCCUACUUUGCACACAGUAGGUGAAUUCAUUGCCGUGAGCAAUCUGCAAGUGUGACUGGAUGAUGCCAGGAAGAUAAUAGAGAAGAGGGAUGUGUGCAGAAAUAGCAAAUAGGCAGUGGCAGGUCAUGCAGAAAAUGAUGGUAAGGGAAUACAAAGAACUAGUAGUUAAGGUCAGAGAUAUGGGCAAAAAAGAGUCUUUCAAACAUGGAAUGUUGGCUAUAAUUCAGAGCUACAAAUCUAACUAGGAAAGACCAACUAGUGAGUUCAUUAAAUGAUUCUGUUUCCCCUAGGACAUGGUUACUGCUUGCUAGGUUACCACAUUGAUCAACGUCUCUCCUCUUGGCAUGUAUCUGGCAGGUUCCACAGUAUUUUUGAAGUUAACCUUGGAAAUAGAGACCUAAUUUUAAAGUUAAAAACUGAUUAUGUUAAUUUAAUAUUCAUUAAAGCUCCCAUACAUAAUUUAUUAAACAUUUUAAUGAAAAAACAUGUCACAUUGUUUUAUAAGACUAGCUAACAUUUUAUAAAUGUGGCGCUUUAUUAUACAUUAACUCAUAGAAUCCUCAUAUAACCCUAUGAGGCAUUUAUUUCCUCCAUUUUCCUUGUAGGUUAAGUUACUUGCCCAACAUCUCUUAGCCACCAAAUGGUGGAGCCCAAAUUCAAACUUAGGGUGGCUUUACUCCAAAGUCAUAUUAUUAACCACAGAAGUAAUUGAAUAUACACAUAUUGAUAUAUAUUAAUUAUUAAAUAAGGCUCUCAUCUAAAAGCAAGAUUGUUUUGCUAAAUGCAACUAAUUUUUUGGGAUGGGGGAGACAUUGUGGAAGAGAUAGUAUAUAAAUAUUAUAUGUUAAAUCAUAUAAAUUUUUCCAAAACACUUACAAAGGUUAAAUUACGUAUAUAUAUAUAAUGCAUAUAUAAAAAUUCAACUAAUUGUUAAUAUGAAUAAAAAUGCUAUUUCCAUGAAAUUUGCUUAGUAGUCCUUAGCUAUAUCAGUCUUACACACUGUAUGUACAUGUUAGGGUUGCAAGAGAUAUAUAUUUAUUCAUAAAUGUAGGGGGAAUAGACCAGAGUAGUCAAGGAAUAUAGAAGACUCAAAGUUUAUUGCUUUAUUUACUUACAUAAACUAACAGGUAUGAAAUGAACACAGGGCUCUUAGACCCUUGAGUGAGCUCUGGAGUUUAGUGUAAUUUUUUUUUUUUAGUUGUUUUAUUUUUCCUACCAAAAGCUAGUAUGUUCAUAUAGAAACAUAGGAAAGUGGUCAAGGGUGACAAAGCCUGACAAUUGACUUUGCCUUUAAAACAGGAUAAUGUAUAUCUUUUCAAAUAGUUCUCUUGUCCUUGGAAUCCCAAAAUAGAAUAUCUUUCCUUAAUCACUUGUGACUGUCCCUUCAAAAAUUGACUGGGACUCUUACUAAAGUUGCAUCAUUUUAAUGAGGUAUUUCUGGUGUUUCUUGUGCUACUCACUUUUUCCAUUUUCUAGCAGGUGGGGAGAAAGCAUUUGCUGCUGCAGCCUCGGGAUGCGUAGCUCCCAGCCCUGCCCUGUUGGAGGGUCUACAGUCAAUCAGUGUCUGUGGUCAGUCAGCUUCUGUGUGGUUCCUUGGGCAGCACAUCUGUGUGUCCUAUCCCGGGAGUCCACACAGCGCGUGCUCGUCCCAACAGGUGCCUCCUCAAUGCCCAGAGGGUGAAUGAAAUUUGAAACGAUAUGUAAACUGAGCAAAGAUGGGAUCAUGGAGUUCAAGAAGCUGUAAAUGCUCUGCUUUCUGUUCCUCAGGGAUUUGGCUGGCAAGGAGACACCUAAUGAGCAGAAAUGGACUUCACAGAGCUUACAGCAAGCUGGAAGAGAGAGACAUCAAUCAACUAAUCAUACAAAGAAACCCAUAUAUGAACACUGGAUUUAUCUGCUUGUCAAAGAAAUACACUGCUCCUUCAGAAGAUAACUGUGAGUUUAGGCAAGAUGUCCUGGACCUCGGGUCAGAACUACACUAAAGUAUGGAUAUGCAGAUCAAGUGUCAUUUUCUUAGAGAUGCCUUGCUUGGUCCUCCCUCAUUAAAGGAUGAAAUAAUAAUUCUGUUGAUUGAAUGCACACUGCGUCUGAGGCCUCAUGUUCACAAGACAACAAGAUAUCUUUCACCUUGAUUUUUCACAACUCUACCUGCCAUGCAGGCCUGACUUACUUCAGGUAAUCUCCAGUUGUCCUAAGCAGGAAUCACCCCCAUGGACUGAGAAAACCAACUGACCAAAACUUCCAUGAUUGGUUCUCUCUCUGAAGCUGGUCCCAAAAACCUGCCAUCUGACUCUGACCCUACCAAUGGGUGACCAGACACAAGUUACUUACCUUCCUUGAGAUACAAUUGUCUUUGUGCAUGAAAUAAAACUAUCUCCGUGAGGCGAUGAAGGGGCACCUCUCUGUAAAGUGUCGAAUGCCAUGUAUGUGUUCCUGGUGGUUACUGUUAUUUCCAUAGGACACAUCCACAUCCCCCCAGUGUAUGUUCCAACCUGCUGACCUCUGUACUCAUCCUUGCUGUCUCCUUUCCCAGGGCCUGGAUCCCUAUUCUGGCAUUUUACUCCUGCAGGAAUCCCUGUUCUCCACCAGGUCAUUCCCAUCAACAUCAAACACAUGCUAUAAUAACUCCCAGCUUAGAGAAAAGUUAUUCUCUCUUGACCCUGUGUUUCUCUCCUGCUAAAGCCUCAUUUCUCUGUUCCUCUCUGCAGUAAAAGGUUUAAAAAAAAAAAGGUGUCUGUACUCACUCUCUCCAUUUCUUCCAUUUCCCCUUGAGAUGGCCCCAAAUAGUCUUUUAUCCUCACUACUCUACAAAACCAGCCUGAUUAAGGUCACCGGCAACCUUACUGUGCAAAUCCACUGGUUCAGUCCUGUCCUUCUCUCCUCUCCUCCUGGCAGUGCGUGACACCAGUCACCCCUCGCUUCUCACAUCCUCCUGCUCCUGGGACA